AGUGAACGCUGGCGGUAGGCCUAACACAUGCAAGUCGAACGGCAGCACAGUAAGAGCUUGCUCUUACGGGUGGCGAGUGGCGGACGGGUGAGGAAUACAUCGGAAUCUACUUUUUCGUGGGGUAUAACGUAGGUAAACUUACGCUAAUACCGCAUACGACCUACGGGUGAAAGCAGGGGAUCUUCGGACCUUGCGCGAUUGAAUGAGCCGGUGUCGGAUUAGCUAGUUGGCGGGGUACAGGCCCACCAAGGGGACGAUCCGUAGCUGGUCUGAGAGGAUGAUGAGGCACAAGGGGAAGGAGAAAAGGCCAAGAAUACUAAGGGAGGCAGAAGGGGGGAAUUGGGGAAAAUGGGGGCAACACUGAGACAGCAAUGCCGAGUGAGUGAAGAAGGCAUUAGGGUGGUAAAGCGCUUGCGGAAGGAAAGAAACGGUGGGCUCGAAAAUAGUCCGCUAAGGACGGGAACUGAAGAAGAAGCAACGGCGAACUACG
rnacentral:rRNA from 1 species